rnacentral:rRNA from 1 species
AGGAUAAACGUUGGCGGCGUGCCUAACGCAUGCAAGUCGCACGAGGGCUUCGGCCCUAGUGGCGGACGGGUGAGUAACACGUAGGAACCUGCCCGGAAGUGGGGGACAACUUCUCGAAAGGGAAGCUAAUACCGCAUACGGUCUACGGACCAAAGCUUCGGCGCUUCCGGAGGGGCCUGCGGUGGAUUAGCUAGUUGGUGGGGUAACGGCCUACCAAGGCAACGAUCCAUAGCUGGUCUGAGAGGAUGAUCAGCCACACUGGGACUGAGACACGGCCCAGACUCCUACGGGAGGCAGCAGCGAGGAAUUUUGCACAAAUCGACGAAAGUCGGAUGCAGCAAACGCCGCGUGCGGGAAGAAGGCCUUCGGGUUGUAAACGCUUUGUGAGGGAAGAAGAUCUGACGGUACCUCACGAAUAAGUCACGGCUAACUACGUGCCAGCAGCCGGC